rnacentral:lncRNA from 1 species
CCCUUCUCCACAUGAAUGAACUGAUCCAUUAAGUAUGAUAUCAGAUAACAUCGGGAUGUGCCAAUUGCUGCUGUAUGUGAGUCAGCAUCCUGAUGAUAACUUUCUCAGUAAUAUAGGAUUUCAUAUAUUUAUUGUGUGUCAUUUUCUAAAGCAAUGUCUGUGAUUAUAUACAUGACUUCAACAACGACAAACAGAGACGUAAGUUUAUUUAUUUAUUGCAAUAUGAUUUUGAUUUGAAUGCAUACUCAAUGAUAUUAUUUCGUUAAAAAGCUGAGUUUUCAGUUUUUCCACAGCACUUCAUCUAAAAUGGUUUCCAUGGUUAUCUGUUUUUCACACUCCUUAUUAAAUUAUUGCAGGCUAUCUAUUUAAUCGAUUUGCAUAGGUCAAUACAGUGUUAUUUAUCGUUUGUGUUUUAUAUCUGGUGAAAAGAUGUAAGGCAAAUACGUAUUAUACAUAUUUAAUCCGAACUAGACCGAACUCUAUCAAACUAAAAAAAAGGGGUGAUUAACUUUUAUUUUGUUCAUAUUUGUUAUGAAAUUUUUAGAUGGCAACCUAGUGUUAAUGUAUUCUUGCUUUAAAAAAUUGGUCAUUGCAUGUGUUUUAAAUGCAAAUGUAUACAGUAUAUGCCCUAAUUAUCUCAUCACCCACCCCCCGCUUUUUAAUCAUCUUUUUGUUUCUGAUGUGUCAUAUAAGACGUACAGAAGAUUUCGCUAAUUAGUCUGUUUAUUAACUAGGAAAUGAAAAAUAUUCACAUGUGAAUGCAUUCAUGAUGAAUCUGUAUGUCAUCUCACGCUGAUAUCUAAGGGGUACAUGGAAGGGGAAUCUUAUAAUUCGCUUAAGCUCAUUUAUAAUUCGUCUGAUGUAUAAUUGUAUAAUCGUUCGGUAAAGUAAAACUAUCAAUUUUGUACUAACAGUAAACAGCAUUCAAUUUCUUACUAUCCUUAUGAUGUAUAGCUUGAAGGAUAUGAUUAUUUUUUUACGAAAAAUUGAUACAUAAUAUCGUUGAUGUUCAGAACAUAUGUUUGACCUUGAACGAUGUUGUAUACAAAACUUUAAGAUAAGUGUGCUUAAAAUCUUGUAGUUUAAAACAUAUAAAACUAAAUUUAGGACACUUUGAUGUUAAAAUUUGGCCAAACAUAUGUCUUACGCACAUAAUGUGUGUAUUUUGUAACGUUGUAAGACUUAGAUUUAUAUCACGUCAUCGAGAUAAUUACGGAAGAAAAAGUCGAAAUACUUUGAAGUGGUUAGAUUUUUUCAGCCUUUCAUAUUUUUUUUUAAUUCCGGCGUGUUCUUAAGUACAUUUUCCGCUCUGUAAGAAUGUUGGCACAUGCACAUCUUUCCGGUUGCAGGCUGACAAAACGCUUGACGAAAGAAUUGAUAAAUUAUAGAACAAAAAGGAUCUACACAAAAUAAUCCGUUUUUCUCUUUUCCAUUUUUAUUGGUUCAACUGGACCAACGAGUCAGUAUAAGCUUUUGUCUUCACUUGGCGUCAGUCAUCUGUUUACUUUAACAAACAUAUCAAGUUCUCCUCUGACACUACGUACUUGGCCAAAUUUAACCAAACUUGAACACAAUCAUCAUUGGAGUAUCUCGUUUAAAAAUGUGUGCGAUGACCCUGUCUGCCAACAACAUGACUUAUUGACCAACAUGACCGACAUGGUUUAAAAUGAAGAUAUAGGACUGGAGUACAAUGAAAGUUUAGUCUAUUAUCUUGAAAUAACUAUAGAUAGAGAAAAUCUAAUAAGGCACACAUGAUCAGAAUGGUGAGAUCUACCUACUAUCAUUAUUCAUAAAACCUGUCAGAGGACUUCUUUAUAAGUAGUGUUGCUUAAACGAUUGCAGUUUUUCCUAUUAUCCUGGAAACUACAAUAGAUAGACAAAAAUUGCAAAAAAUAUCAGCAAGAUAAGAUCUUAAAAAAAGUCAGCAUAGAUUAAAUUGUAACGGUUGUCAUCGUAUAUAUAUACAUAAGUCUUCAAUGAAGAUGUUUCUGUAUUUUAGGCUAAACGUUUUUGCAAAAAUCCAGGUGUUGUUAACAAUGUUAACGGACCCCCGAUUGCCCCCGCCCCCUCAUUUAAACAAUAUAGAAAAACGAUUAACAUGAAACAUUAUCAGCAAUACAAGUUCAACAAAAAGAGGAUCUAAGUCAUGAAUCAUAUUUUGGUCCACAAUGCUGCAGAGAGUCUAAUGUUGAGGAUGCACAUAUACCUAGGUGAGCGAAACGUGCUUUACCAUGGAUUGCUAUUAGUUUUAUAGUGAUAAUACAAUGAAUACAUUCGAUCAGUAUGAUUUCUCGUUUUAGAUAUACCACAAGCAAAGUAGAAUAAAACUUGUUCUUGAGGGAAAAGGAAUAAAAUACGAAGAAGUAGAUCUAUGUAAGGACAAGGAAAAACGAGAUUACAUGAGAGAAAAGGCGGGAAUUCCAGACUUACUCCCACCACAAAUCUUUAACGGAGACACAUACUGUGGGGUAAUAUAUUACUUAGAUCAAUACAAAUACAUCUCUAGUUACUACUGAGGUCAAACGUCCGAAUGGGGAAUCACCGAAACAUGACCGGAGUACCCCCUCCCCCCACACACACACUUAUGAAAAUUCCUGGAUCCGCUACUGAAUAUGACGGUGUUCUAGUCUUUGUGUAAAUUUAAAAAAAAAAAGAUUAUAUAAAAAAGAAGAUGUGGUAUGAAUGCCAAUGAGACAGCUAUCCACAAAAGACCAAAAUGACACAGACAUUAACAACUAUAGGUCACCGUACGGCCUUCAACGAUGAUCAAACCCCAUACCGCAUAGUCAGCUAUAAAAGGCCCCGAUAAGACAAUAUAAACCAAUUCAAACGAGAAAACUAACGGCCUUAUUUAUGUUAAUAAAAUGAACGAAAAACAAAUAUGUAACAUAAACAAACGGAAAACCACUGAAUUACAGGCUCCUGACUUGGGACAGGCACAUGCAUAAAUAAUGUGUCGGGGUUAAACAUGUUAGCGGGAUCCAAACCCUGCCUCUAACCUGGGACAGUGGUAUAACAGUACAACAUACGAACGAACUAUAAAAAUCAGUUGAAAAAGCUGAACUCAUCAGAUGUACAAAAAUACAAGUGGACGUGGCCCGGUACUUAUACAUAAUAUAAUGAAACUGGAUAUUCUGUUUCAGAACAGGAUAAAAGUUUGCAAAGAUGUGAUUAUCAGAUGUUAUUCUGUUACUGUAGAUCUAAAUCUGUUCAGUAUCAUCUAUGGCGAUUUGAUUAAAAAAAACCACCAAUAUUUUAACUCAGUUGACAGCCUAUCGGUAUCGUGACACGCCUGGUAUACCAGCUAUCUAGCAUUCAAAAGAAAUGCUGAUGUAUCAUGCUCAUAUUAUAGAUCUGAUAAUAUAUCAUAUAUAUAUUUAUCCUUUAUGUCAUUCAUGUUUCCUACUCUUUAUAAGUAUGAACAUGUUCAAGAUUAUUGAUACCAUUGAUAUAAAAAAAUAAAUAAUGCAUAUUCUACACAGUCUAGUAUGAGUUUGACCUUUGAAAAAUAAUAAUGUUUUUAAAUGUCAACAAUGUUAGAGAAAGUACUUUACUGUAUAAGACUAGUACAAGCACAUUUGAAAUAUACAAGUAAUUCAUCGGACUGGAUACAAAGACAUGGGCAGUGGUCUUAUAUAAAUCAAUUCAAGAUCUAAAACUGAAUUACAUAACCAUAUUUACAUGCUGAUAGGUAGACAGAUGUGUAUUGAAGAUAUAUUGAGUACAAUAUCCUAAAUAUAGAUCAUUAUAAAUGAUAUUUAGAGAUGUCUAUGUAAAAACAAAAAUGCGUGCGUGAAAUUCUUUACUAUGACGGAGAAUGACAAAAAUAUGAUUUACGUUUACUUUUAAUAUAACAUCCAGUAAAAAGCGAUGAACAAGAUUGUAAUUCAACACUGUCUGCAAGGUCCAGUCUUUGUUUCACUGUUAACGGAGAUCAGUGUACUAACAUUAGCAUCACAACAGUGCCACAUGUGAAGCAGGAUCUGCUUUCCCUUCCGGAGCUGAAGAUCACCCGAAGUUUUAAUGGGGUUCUUGUGGCUCAGUCUUUCUAUAUGUUGUGUUUUGUGUACUAUUGUUUAUCACGGGUUUUUUUUCUGGCAUUGUCAUUUUAUUGUCAACUUGUAGUGUACAAAUAUCAGACAUAUCUUGUGAAAUUCAGUAUACAUGUAUUAAAAGGGUUUUGUCCGAUAUCAAUCAGUUUGUCUAUAUGUGGUUACAUAGAAUUUCGUAGACUUCAAACAUCUCCAGGGUCGGAUUCUGUCAUUUUUAGAGGAGAGGUUUUGAACCCAAAACUAAAGGGGGAUCAAACCAUAUGUCCCAAUUCAAAAAUUUUGCUUGUCAAAAAAAGGGAGUUCUUAUCCCGAACCCCCUUUUGAUCCGCCACUGCAUUUUUGACUAAUCAAAUGUUUACUUUUAGUCCUUCUUAUGAUACCUCAAAUAAUUCAACUUGCAUCCUCUAUAUAGUUUAUCGUCAGUGACGUGGUCGAAGUGUGUGGAAUAUAACGACUUGAUCAUUCUCGGGUUGUAGUUGUGACUAACAUUCAUUGAUGCUUAAUUUCUUAUCUCUAAGAUAUCGCACUAACAAAGAAAUGCAAUUAUUAUAAUGAGAAAUGAUAAUCAAAUCGUCAUUCUGAUUUGACCGUUCUUAUACAUGACGUCAAAUCAAACUCAAAGUAACAACCUUUAUCUUUUUUGACAUUUUCUUCUGAAUUUCAAUUUCGAUUUCUUUGAUUAAACAUAAAUACAUUACAGAAAUGCCUGAAGAUAUUACCCCUUACAUUUCCUCAAAACAUACACUACGUUACAGGGCACAAUGUGCAUGUAUAUGCAUGUGCAUUGAAUCAUAUAUUUACAUGACUCAGCUGUUGAAAAAGUAAUUGCCUUUUGGUUAUUUUGAUAUCAAGCGACUAUGCAAUUAUAUGCUUUAGUGUCGUUUUCGAUGUAUACGGCCUUCACACUUUUAUUUCUCAGUUAUUUUGUAAUGUGAGAAUAGGAUAUCGUUUAUUAAUAAAAGUGCAUAAUUAUCAUCUGAAACUCAAGUUUACACUGAACCAAAACAAUCACUCAGACCACACUUAAAAAUAUGCUCAAACCUUACUCAAAGGUACGAGUAGAAAUAGUAGGCAAAAAGAAAUUUAAGUGUCAAAUGUUAUAAGUCUUCAUGCCUAUCUGAUUAAAAAAAAUCAUAUCAGGACAAUACAAGUUUUUGAGUAGGCAGCUAUUUUAUGGGUAUAUAGGUAGGGUUAAGGCAAGCAAAACAUAAUCUUUUUCAUCGCCUUACCAAUUUUCAUUUUUUCAUGAGGAAGAUGCCAUUUACCACGUUUCCUUUUCUCAUGUCACAGUUGACUGAUUUUGUGUUUUCUGCUAAUAAAACUAGUGAAAAGUUUGUCUGAACCUUUUUGGACUUUUCUUGUGUUUAGUAACCGUGUUAUUUCAACCACAAGCUCCUUUUUUAUACUAAUUGCCUUUACAAUUUAGCAGACGAAUCAGUCGCACAAUUGUAUAAUAGAGACAUUCACAAGUAUUUAUUUCUGUUUUAUGAAGCGAUAAUCGUUCAUUUAAAGUUUACUGUAUGGCUGUAAACAAACAUACAUUAACUAGAUCUAAUUCUAAAGUAUAUAUUCUGUAUAAUCAGUUGAAUUACUCAUGCAUCAGUCACAAGUCACGAUCGUUCAGCGGUUAUCUAGUUCAAAAGACAAUGAAAGUGUGUAUGUGCCAACAUGUCAUAAAUAAAGAGCCCAAAGGACUUGAAUGACUUGAGAAUCACUUGAAGUCUGUAUAGUCUUUACUUACAUAUAUAUACAACUCGUCUAAACAUCAACCCAACAAUGUUAGAUCUGUAAAUUUGCUUUUGCAAUUUUUUUUGUUCUUCCCUCGCCGGGAUUCGAACCCAUGCUACUGAGAUAUCGUGACACCAAAUCGCCUGCACUGUAGCCGUCCCGCUAGACAACACGACCACCCGGGCUUCACAAAAAUAAAGCUUUUGGUGGCCGUGUCCUCGUCAGUUUUAAUCUAGCGUCGUACUACAGUACAUGAUAUAUAAGGCAUGGAGAUGUUAUUGUUAGAGAUCAGCUCAAUUAUCUACAGUAAAGGAUCCUACAAAUUAAUGCAAGAUACAGUCACAGAAAAUAAUUACAUUUAUUUAUAAGUACGUCUGAGUCAGUGACAAUUCUACAACAGAUAUAUCCAUCGGAUCACCAGCAAUGAUGGUGAUACAUGGCUGUGUACAUUAGAGAUAAUUUCCCAGAGUUAAAUGCCUUGUCUUUAUCUCAGUACUGUUUGUUUGUAUUUGUUAUUGCUGUCUUGUAGAGGUUUACAGAACAUUCCAUACUAUUCAAAUUAAACUAUAAAUAGACAAACCUUGUGAUCUUUAGCAAAUAGAGCCUGGGGUAGAAGACACCAAAGCGAUAUUCAAAUUCACAGUCGAAAACAUGCAUGAUUGACAACACCAUGGCACAAACAAAAACAUCAAAAGACAAACAACAGUACACAAAACUAAGCAUAAAAAGCAUGAACAACAAGACUCCCACUAAAAAACGGGUUAUCUUAGUGGCUUCAGAAGAGUAAGUAGACCCUGCUACACAUGUGGCACCUAUCGUUUUGUUCGUGUUAAAACAAAGUUGGUAAUAAGUAUCAUUUGGUGAGGUCACAUAAUAGAAAUAAGGAUGGUGCAAACAACUAUUAUUACAUCACAGGGGUAUAUUGCAGUGGCGGAUCCAGAAAUUUUCAUAAGUGGGGGCCCACUGACUGACCUAAGAGGGAGCCCGCUCCAGUCACGCUUCAGUGAUUCCUUAUAUAAGCAACCAAAUUUUUCCCCAAAAAGGGGGGCCCGGGCCCCCUGCCCCCUCCCCCUAAAUCCGCCUCUGUAUUGUAUACAUCAUAAUUAAGCUAGUGUAUUCAAGUUUUGUAAUGCUAUCCAAAUAACUGUAGACUUGUUUCUUCAAUAUUUUAUUACUGUUUUAGGAUUUCCAAUCCUUUGAUGAUGCACUGGAAGCAGGGACGUUACAAGAAUUUUUACUCCUGAAAUGAGUGGAUGGAUGAUUUUUUAAAUGGUAAGCUUUUCUAAAGUAACAUACGCAGAAGGCUGAAGUCAUUGGUAAGUCUUUAAUUAGAACAGUAUCAGUAGCAUCGUCUUAAUGGAAUUACUAUUUACAUUAUAUGCGAUAGGUCGUUCAAGACAAUUUCUGUAGUUUAGUAAGAAAACAACGAUGUUAACAAUAGAUCACAAUAGGAAAAAAUAUAAUUGAAAAUCGCUUCUUUUUGAGUAUAUAUAACUCCCUAUAAAGACUGUCUAUGAAUGAAUCAAAAGACAGUGAUUUUAAAAGUAACACGUGCUAGCUACUAAAAUUCGUUGUUUUUUUUUCAACUUGCCGUUGAUGCUUAUCCGAAUUGAUAGUCAACUUGACAGAUCUUGAUAAUUAUCUUUUUAAACAUCUAAUUGUUUUAAAUAUGUGUAUGUCUCAACUAUUAGACGUCUUACUCGUUGUUAUAUAUUUUCUAAAUUAAAAAAGCACUAAAAUUUAUUAUUUUAAUAAAUUGAAGAAACAUUAGCAACAAUCAAAGAUGACUUUGCAAUGUCAAAAAUUAUAAGGCUAUUAAAAUUAUUCGGCAUAAAUUUAAAAAUAAAAGUCUUCGAUUUGUAUGGUAUUUUCAUAAAUGUGAUCGUACAGUGUCUGAGUUCAUCGUUGAUAACUAAUGGAAAAAAGCACCAAUUAUACCAAUAAAGGGUGCACUUUUAAUAUAAAAGUUACUGUAGCAUUUUAUUAUUCAAAUAUAACUAAUAUGUUGGUACAUAAAUAUGCACAAUUUGUACAAGAUAUUGUUAAAUCCAGAAGAUAACUUUCUAUUUUCAGUGAAUGAUGCCUGUUAUGUGCUAGAAGACGUAUGCUGAAGAAUGCAAGAACUACAAAGAAAUGUUUCUACUUUUAUAUAUAAAGUGCAAUUCUAUAAGAAAAAAAUGCAAUUCCGUGUCGUAUUUGUUUUUAAAGAUGUCAUUUGCUUGUAGAACUGAAUAUGGAUUUAACAAUUUUGUAUCGUGAAAAUCUUAUAUCGAAAUAAAAUUACAGUUAUUUUUUACUAC